GCUGACUGGUCCAUUUUACAGAGAGCUGAUCGGUCCAUUUUACAGAGUGCUGAGUGGUCCGUUUUGACAGAGUGCUGAUUGGUGCGUUUACAAACCUUUAGCUAGACACAAAAGUUCUCCAAGUCCCCUACCUGAUUAGCUAGACACAGAGCGCUGACUGGUGCGUUUACAAACCUUUAGCUAGACACAGUGCUGAUUGGUGCGUUUACAAUCUUUUAGCUAGACAGAAAAGUUCUCCAAGUCCCCAUCCGUCCCAGAAGCCCAGCCGGCUUCAUCUCUCACUGGCAUUGGCAGGGCAGCGGGACUUUGCGACACCUAGCCCGGGCACUCCAGCAGCCCAGAGGGAGCUCCUCCCAGACAAUCAAGAGGGAAAGAGGGGAAGCAGAAAGAGACGGAGACCUGCUAUCUUGGCCAACGAUCCCGUGAAGAGGGAACGGCGGUCUACGCAGGGAAUUCAGCUUCCUAUCAAGCCUAGCAGAGUCCUGCUUCUCGCGCCCGCUGCACUGGGUUUGGCGUCUCUGCUGUUCGCUGAGAUCUGCACACUCCAGGAGCCAUAGGGAGGACGCCAGGACAGCCCCGAAGACGAGAAUGCCUCGCUCCUCCUAGGACGGGAGGAAAAUCCCACAAAUCCUGUCUACUCCAAGCAGCCGCGCCCCUCGGGAGACCACCCCAGUUGGAGGGGCCCACUCCAGCCACCGCUACACCGGGACGCGCUCCUCCUCCCCCUGUGCCCGCCCCUUCUCGUGAGGGACCACCAGGAGGCCCCUCGAUUCCCCAGCAAAACACAGGUUUUGGAGCCAGAGUUUCUGAGUUUGAAUGUUUGGUCUGCUACUGACCAACUCUAUGGGCUUGGGCCUGCAAAGAAAACAUCAAAGAAGAAGGUCAAAAACCAAUUACAUUCUAGGAGUGACCUUGAUGACUUAACUCUGUAAUCUGCAGCAACCUCAGAGGAUCAUGGGAUGCAUUAUGCACGUCAUGGAAUGGAUUGUAAUGUGUAACAUCUAUGAAAUCAAAGGAUGAAGAAGAUCGUGCCCAGGUAAUACCCACUCUCUUUGUCUUCUAAAGAAAUGUUGCUUUCCUGAUUUCCUCCCUUCUCAAUUUAGAUGUGAAAAUCUAACAAUACACAUAAUGUACAACAUAUACAAUUCUCUUUGUGGGGGUGGUGUUCAGUGGGACUCUCCUCCCAACUGACACCUGAUACCCUAAGACAUUUUAAAAUGACAGUAUUCAUUAUCAAGUGUAAUGUAGAGGCAUUUUCCUCAGCAUCAGUUUUCCUCCUUGGAGCUUUGAGUGUGCUGUGUUUGUGAUCAUCUUUUCUUGCUUUAUUAUUUAAAGUUGAUUUUUCUGAGAACACCGGCUUUUUUCUGCCACUGCUACUGUAAAAUAGCAAUGCUUUUGGUUUGGAUUAGUUAGCACCCCAUGGGGAUUCUGUGUGAGAUGUUUUGGGUUGGGUGUUUUAUGUUAUCUGUGAUGGAAGGAGUCUUCAGGACACAACUAUCUCACCGGUGCUUCCUUAAUCCUGGAGACAAAAUUCUCCUACUGUAUGCCCAAGUGUUUACCCUCACCCUAUGAACUUUUAGGACUUGUAGCAGCACAUUAAUUUCUCUGUCCUUACUGUUUACUUCUGAUUUAAAGAGCUCUCCUUGGGGGUGGAUGACAGAAUGAACAUUUACUCUGGGCUCACUGGAAAAGCUCCAACGUCUUGGAAAUUGAGUGGGUAUAAGGAAUGCACAAAUUAGUUUUCCUGUGACAGCAUGCAGAGCACUUUUCCAAGCCCCGUCACCUGUCCUUAGUUCCUCUGAACUAUACAGAGGAACAAAUCAAUAUAAAUGCAGAAGAGAAAAGAUGAGAUCAGCUGAUUUUGGUGUUGAUAUGGGUAAUAUCUGAUUUACAUUCAGUUUUCAUGUGGGAUCUCUGUGCCUGGCUUGGUUUAAUGAUUCAAAGUGACAAUACAGUCAACUUCUGAGAAAAUGAUCUAUGGAAAAUUGAAAGUUUAAAAUAUUUUCUUCCUCCUAACUUUGAAGAGGACUUGUUUCAUAUCAAAUCUGCCUGUUCAUCUGCCUGUCCGUCCACUCACUGUUUAUCCAUGGAUCUUGGUGUUAGCUUCUGAGGUGGUAAUGAAUUCAAAACCCUUCUGUUCCUACUCUCAUAUUAAAGGUUCAAAAAUCAACCUUGAUUGCAAUGAAGCACUAAGCCCACAACCACAACUCAGGUGAGGGCUGCCUUGAGGGUUGAAUGGGUUAAUUAAAUAAAAUGUGUAUUAUAUAUCUCGAAGAAAGUAGAGGUAUAUCAACUUGCUUGGUAUCUCACAGCUUAGCAAGUUCCAGAGGGGCACUCAAACCCAGGAGAUAAGCUUCCAAGUCAGGGCUAAUGCCAUGACACCCAUGAUUUAUGGGUGGAUUGGUGGCAGGACAAGAUAGAAAGGAACCAGCGGUGGCUCAGGGUUUUGACCUGAGCAACCAGGGAGAGGAGGUGUCGUGUAGACAGAUAGGAAAGACACAAUUCUUUGAACACAUUUGGGACUCAGAUAGUCAAGGCAGCAAGGAUGAAGAUGGUUUGUCUCAUCACCCGUCUUCCAGGUGACUCUGGUGGGCUCCCUCUUUGAAAGGGUGCCUUCUGGGGGCUGACUUUCAGGCUAGCGGUUGGCUUCUUUUGACUGGGGGUCAAGUGGGCCUCCAGACACCCUGAGCUGCAUGGAGAACAGCAAGGGCCUUUUGCUCAUCUGCAGUGUACAGCACUGCCUCUACUUCAUCUUGAUGCUGCUCCUGGUCAGUCUUCUCGGCACGCUGGGGACCUCCUUACUCACAGACCCAAUUCCUGUUAAACAAGUUAAGUGCUGCCAGGUAGGGUGCUCUGGGGUGGACCCUGCAGUUCUAGGGAGUCACUGAAGAAUAGGGAAAUUCCUGCAUUGUCUUUGGAAAGGGGAGGGUUUGGGGGAGCAUUGGGGUGGGCAGAAACAGGCAGGUACAUUUUAAAGGGCUCAGCAGAGUGAAACAAAGCUGAACUCAACCAGAUGUCCUGCAGCGAUUUGCCAGGUAUUCCUUUAGAUCGAGAAGUUUGGCUUUUAAAAUGCAAAUUUUCCUUGGAAGUUUUAAAUCCACCAACCUUAGUAUGAAUUAAUGCAAUCAGGGCACUCCCAGCUGUUACCCACCCAGGGGGAAUGAAGCCAAUGGACAUUCAGCCCCCACUGUAGUGCAGUAGGUGAGAGCAUGGCAGGCUCUGGAGCAGACUGCCAGGAUGCCGAUCCUAGCCUUGCCCUUACUAGUGUGUGUGAUCCCGGAUGAAUAUUUAACUUUUCUGUGGCUCAGUUAAAUGGAUGUAAUAAUAUCUACCUCAAAGAUCAGUUAUGAGGAUUAAAUGAGUUAAUCAAUGUAAAGCACUUAGAACAGUGUUUCGCAUAUGUACGCCUCAUCUUAGUAUUAGCUGCUGUUAUUGUUACUAUUAAUAAACAAUCCUUGAAGAGCAAGAACCGAAUUAUCUGUGCCCCACAAUACCCAGCAUCACUCCAUUACUAUGACAGACCUGCCACAUGUAUUUCUUGGAUGGGUUACUCAAUGGAUCUCUUUGCCACUUCUACAUUUUUCUUCUUCUACUUUGUUUUAUAGCAGAGGAGGGGCAGAAUUUAGGUGGAGUUCAUUGCUCAGCUGGACUGAAAAAGCUGAACUGGAAUAACUUUCAGUGAACAUGGGCAGUGGGUAAACAUUGGGAAUUUGCAGACUUUCAAAUGAGUCCUCUCUCGAGCACACAUCCUCUAAGUUAGUAGCAACACCAUUAACUCUUUGAAGACUAGGAAGGCACAGUCUUAUUGUCUCUGUAUCCUUAGUCCCCAGCACAGGGGUUCGUAGAAGAGGAAUGACUGAAUCUUCAGGUGUCUGUGGGCUGCCAGGAGGACACUUGGCCAAGAACUAUGUCUCAUCUUGCUUUCUGAGACCUCUUCCCCUCUUUUACACUUGUUCCUGUCUUUUGAAUACCAGGAAGCCCAGGUUGCCUUCUGACCUUCAGAGGCCCUCACACCACCUAUUCCGGGGGCUCCAGUACCAUCUUUCCCUGUAAAUGAGGCAGCACAGACUUUGAAUUUAGGCAAACCUGGGUUCAAGUUUCAGCUUCACUGGUAUCUUGCUACACUCAUAACCGUAGACAAUUUUACUUAUUUUUGUUAAGUCUCAGUAUCUUCAUCUGCAAAAUGUGGAUAAUAGUAACUAUCUCAUGGAAUUGUCAUGAGGGAGUUUCUUAAAUGUAGUUAUGUACAGAACUCUUUUAAAGGAACUCCUAAAAUCUCAAUGUUUAUCCAAAUGAGUUUUUCAAUAAUGCUACUUGGAUACAUGCAAAUAUAAUGUUCUAUAAUAUUUAGCUAUAAAUUCAAUGUUUUUAUACAACCUAAACAAAAUUACAAACUAAAUACAAAUAAAACUAUAACAUUAAUAAAAUACAAAUUAACAAUUUUAAUGUAACAGAUAAUGUUUUGCUGAAAUUAAAC
rnacentral:lncRNA from 10 species